rnacentral:rRNA from 1 species
CCUACGGGAGGCAGCAGUGGGGAAUAUUGGACAAUGGGCGCAAGCCUGAUCCAGCAAUACCGCGUGAGUGAUGAAGGUCUUCGGAUUGUAAAGCUCUUUUAGUAGGGAAGAUAAUGACGGUACCUACAGAAAAAGCACCGGCAAACUUCGUGCCAGCAGCCGCGGUAAUACGAAGGGUGCUAGCGUUGUUCGGAAUCACUGGGCGUAAAGCGUACGUAGGCGGUUUGGUAAGUCGAUUGUGAAAUCCCCGAGCUUAACUCGGGAAUUGCAACCGAAACUGCCUUGCUAGAGUAUGGUGGGGGAUAGUGGAAUUCCUAGUGUAGGGGUGAAAUCCGUAGAUAUUAGGAGGAAUACCGGUGGCGAAAGCGACUAUCUACGCCAUUACUGACGCUAAGGUACGAAAGCGUGGGGAGCAAACAGGAUUAGAUACCCUGGUAGUCCACGCAGUAAACGAUGGGUGCUAGUUGUCGGGCUCUUAAGAGUUCGGUGGCGAGACUACGUACGUAGUACACCCGCCGUCGGUAGUACGGCCGCGACGACGUAAACUAAAUAGUAGUAGUACGGCGUGAGACGUAGCCGACGGACGACGACGAGGGAGGUAGG